rnacentral:rRNA from 1 species
CUUGACCUCAAAUCGGGUGAGACUACCCGCUGAACUUAAGCAUAACAAUAAGCGAAAGG